rnacentral:misc_RNA from 1 species
GAAAAGAAGAGAGUGUUUGGAACACCCGAAAAGAGCCCUUUAUCGGAUUUGAACCGAUGAAUUUUAGCCUUAUUUCUAAAGGGCGUUUAAAGAGCUAAGGUGAAAGACUGAAGUCAAGUUGCAAGCCUUCGACAACAACAAGAGGCCAGUCGCUGAACACCACGCCAAUCCCGAUUCAAGUACAAGUCUCCUUCGACGUGAACAGACGCUUUCUUAUCUUAC